UUGUCUAUUAAUUGUAGACCUGCAUGAAAGGCAAAAUGAGGGCCCAACUGUCUCUUAUAGUAAACCAAUUAAACUGAUCUCCCAGUCAAAAAGCUGGAAUAUUCCCAUAAGACCAGAAGACCCUGUGAAGCUUUAACUAAACUAUUAAACCAUUUAAUAGCUCCUUUAGGUUGGGGUGACCUUGGAAAAAAAAAGAACUUCCAAAUACAAGACCUAUAUAUUACGCCUCACAUAGGCCAACAAGCCUAAUCUAGACCCAGUACUACUGACAACUGAACCAAGUUACUCCAGGGAUAACAGCGCUAUCUUCUUCAAGAGCCCAUAUCAAAAAGAAGGUUUACGACCUCGAUGUUGGAUCAGGACAUCCUAGUGGUGCAGCCGCUAUUAAGGGUU
rnacentral:rRNA from 1 species